CUGCCCUGCAGCCCAGCCCCAUUCAGGUGGGGAGCAGGAUCCAGCCCAGUUGUGCUGCUGCAGGGACAGGGACACCUGCCCAGGAGCUCGUUAGUCACAAAGCACUUGCCUGGCAGUCAUGAUGUGAUUUAUUCUGUCAUUAGCCUUAUCUCGCAUUCCAAAACUGACUUAGUUUCUAAACUGCAUGAGGUUUUGUACUUUCAUUAAUCUCUUUGGUUUGAUAGAUUAAAUUAACCUUUUUUAAGGACAAAAGAAUUUCCUUUUUUCAUUUUUCCAUGGUCAAACAAGCUGAGGGGCUGUUUCCCCGACAUUUCCCUUUAGUUAGAACAUACCUCUGUCUGCGACUGUAAGUGGGUGCGCCUGCAUCCAUCCCUGUAGGCCAAUCAGCAGGAUAUUUUCCUCCCUGCUCCCUCCGCUAAUUUCUGUAUGGAAGCCUUUCUGCCACCUCCCAGACGUUAAUAAAAAUUGGAAAUGAGCAUCGCUGAGGAUGUACACAUGAAGCAGAGCAACUCAAUGAGGGACUGUCCCUCAUACCAAUAAAACCCGCUGCAUUUCUCCAGGCAGUGUGUGAAAUAUAGCGGGCACAUAACAUAUCCCGCAAUAAUAGGCUGCCAUGUGACUCCUUGGCACCCAGGGAGCUAUCAUUUUCAAUUAGGAAAAAGGCCUCUGGCACGCAACAAAGACAGCAGAAGCACCGCGUGCAGUUAAGGUGAAAUUUAACUUCAUUAAAGCUCAAUGCAGAUUAGUGUUUGCCUUUGUCUCAGCACCGCGUCCCUCUGCCACCAUGCAGAAGAGGACUCUGUGGCGCUAGCUUUGCUGAAAGCCCAAUGCGGGUGCAAUGGAAGAGAGGAGACCCCAGAAUAACACUUGCAGGAGGCAUGCAGCACAAAAGACCUUUGUAGAAAAUCGAAAAUUACCAUCCUCACCAAGCAGGGCCUAUGAUUUAAACAUAAAUCUGCUUCUGAGGUGCUGAAUAUCAAGGCCAGUCAUCAUUUCGGGAUGUAAAACCAGCCUGCUUUCUGCUUGAUUUAAGGCAUUGCCUCUCCGUGCUCCCAGCUGGGAUAAGAAGAAUAUACAAACCCCUGGUGCCUGCCCCUUCCCAUCGCCAAGGGCAUUGCCUGUGCCUGCAGUUCUGCAUGAACCCCUUAACUGGUUCAUACAGUCCCAGCAAAUCCAACACAUUAUUCUGGACACAUCUCUUUAAUGUCUCACUUAAAUCUCCUGAAGAGUUUAACUUGGUUUUUACCUCGGGUUUCCUGAUGUUAAUCUGCUACAAUAUUGACCUGUGUUUAUUACAGCAUUUCUUAUAUUUUCAACAGAAUACGCUGCCCAGAGAAGCUGUGGUGCCGCAUCCCUGGAGGCACUCAAGGCCAGGGACUAGCCAGCUAUGUUUGGAGCCAGUAUGGAACCAGGAGGUGUCAGCAAUGCAAGUGAGCACAGGAAAAUAUUACUACAGGACUUUGAAAGUCUUCUGACGUAUGUGUUGUCUUACUUGGAUCUAUUCACACCUCUAAUCUCCACCUUUCACACCUGGCCUUACAGUACUGAACACUGCGCAGCAUCUGUCAGGGCACAUCUUCCCACUCCGGUGUCAGCAGUAAAUGCAAGAGGACAGAGGCAUCAGCUGUGCAGUUUUUACUUUGAGGAAUGUUUUUAUGAUGUAAACCACUGAGCAUAUUACCAAAGAGCAUUCCUUUGUGCUUAGGUAAAGCACUUUUUCAGUUUUUGAGGCUGAGAAUCGUCACAAGAAAAGUUACUGAGCAAGUAGCUAAGAUGGAGAAGGAAAUAUGUGCAGUUACGCCUAGUAUUAAAAGAACAUAGACUGUGCACUGUAUGAAAAUACACUAUAAACUGGUCUAAGAAAAACAACUCACUUAUUUGACAGCUAACACAAGACAGAAAAAUCUCAAGUCUUCCCUCUUGAAGACCCAAGCUUUAAAAGACAUUGUACGAAAUUCCUUGUGUUGGAAGGCCAGGAUCCUGAUCACCCCUACAGCACACCUGCCCCAGCAGCCCCCACCUUCCCUCCUCUGGUAGCUCCACGCUGUUUCUUGAACUGAAAGCCUUUCACAUUUCCUGUGGCUGAAUUCUGGUGCAACUCUGCACUUACACAUACUUCAGUUGCCUGAGGAUUUUCCAUCCCAAUUGUUCCUGGUGAGUAAAUUCUGGACAGUCCUUUAAUUUUGGCUGGACGAAGUGGGACUUUCACAGCUUUUCUUUGCCUGUGGGUUUGUUUUUCACCCAAACGUAAUUUUGGUGCUUACAGCAGGACACGGCUCCAGCCUUUCCAGCGCAGUUACUUAGCACCCCUCUCUGGCGACUUGGAUAAACAAGGCAAAAAUGGACUUUACAAUACAGACAGAAGAAAUAAGCCAAAAAAGCAUUAAAUGAAAGAUGGAGAGCAACCACAACAUACCUUUCCUUUUCAAUUUCCACGAAAACUGUAGUGUUCUUUAAAAACAGUCUUUCAGGCAAACAGAUGCAGUGUUUCCAAAAACAUUGGUCCUUGGUCUCACCCAUUUCUCUGAUUUUCUACAUCAAAAUGCUUUAUUUGAAAAACACAUUUUAAUAGCUGCAUUGUAAGUCACCAACAUGUCCAACUUGCUCCUCCACCCCUGGACUCCUGAGGCUGUUUCCAAAACCUAAAGGUAACACUUCUGCAUGGAGGCUCUUGUGCCAGACAGCACUGAAUUUACUGCUUCAGGUGUUAUGUCCCAAGAUUUGUUUUAGUGCGUUUUAUCAAAUGUUUAAAGCUGUAAAUCUUUUUUAAACGUGCGUAAG
ensembl:lncRNA